rnacentral:rRNA from 1 species
AUUGAACGCUGGCGGCAGGCCUAACACAUGCAAGUCGAACGAGUGGCGGACGGGUGAGUAAUGUCUGGGAAACUGCCUGAUGGAGGGGGAUAACUACUGGAAACGGUAGCUAAUACCGCAUACCAUCGGAUGUGCCCAGAUGGGAUUAGCUAGUUGGUGGGGUAACGGCUCACCAAGGCGACGAUCCCUAGCUGGUUUGAGAGGAUGACCAGCCACACUGGAACUGAGACACGGCCCAGACUCCUACGGGAGGCAGCAGUGGGGAAUAUUGGACAAUGGGUGCAAGCCUGAUGCAGCCAUGCCGCGUGUAUGAAGAAGGCCUUCGGGUUGUAAAGUACUUUCAGCGGAGAGGCGUUAUCUGCAGAAUAAGCACCGGCUAACUCCGUGCCAGCCGCCGCGGUAAUUC